rnacentral:tRNA from 1 species
GCUAACGUAGCUUAAUAACAAAAGCAUAACCUUGAAGACGUUAAGAUAAGCCCUAGAUAGGCUUCGUAGGCA